CAAGUUAGCAUUCACAAGCCUGAUGGCCUGUGGAUAGAAACUGUUUGUCAGUCUCGUAGUCCUGGAUUUCAGGCUCCUGUAUCGUCUGCCUGAUGGAGAGAUUAUUAUCCUGACACCAGGCCACCAGUUCCGCUACCUCCCUUCUGUAUGCUGCCUCAGCUCCCCCCGUGAUCAGUCCGACGACCAUAGUAUCAUCUGUAAACUUGAUGAUACUGGUGUUGUUCUGGGAGGCCACACAGUCGUGUGUGAAGAGGGUGGACAUCCAGGGGAACUAUGUGACGAUAAGCGCUCACUUCAUCACAGCAGACUGGCAGAUGAGAAGACACGCCCCCUCUACGAGAGUCACCUUGCGCAGUUUCCACAUGGUGAGGACAUUGAUGGUCUGACUCACUGUCUUACGGAUUACCUCAACUUCUGCAUAGACACGACCUGCCCUGCUAAGACUGUUCGGCGCUACCCUAAUAACAAACCUUGGGUAGAGGUUAAAGCUGUCCUCAACAAGAAGAAAGCUGCCUUCAGGAGUGGAGACAGGGAGGCAAUGAGAGCAGCACAGCUAAAGACAGCUACAGGAAGAAGCUGCAGCAGAACAACAUGAGGGAGCUCUGGGAAGGUGUGAAAACCAUCUCAGGCCACAAGACAAAGACCAGAGCAGUAGGGGGGACAAUAGAGAGGGCCAAUGAGUUGAAUGACUUCUUCAACCGGUUCAACCAGCAUGUGUCCUCCCCACCCCCCACUCCUCAUCGCAGCCACCCCCUCUUCUUCUCCCCUCAACACGCCUCCCCCCGAGCCAUGGCUGCACCCACCUCCUCCUCCACCACCUCUAGCAGACAUUAGUCAUCUCUGUGGACCAGGUCAGAGGUCAACUGAGGAAGCUGGAUCCUAGAAACUAUCUGGAUAGAUUCUGGUGCGCACCAGUUAGUUUCUAGGAUGCAGCUUUUUGUUUGCGUAUUAUUUAAAGGGGAACAUUAUCACAAUUUCAGAAUGGUUAAAACCAUUAAAAAUCAGUUCCCAGUGGCUUAUUUUAUUUUUCGAAGUUUUUUCAAAAUUUUACCCAUCACGCAAUAUCCCUAAAAAAAGCUUCAAAGUGCCUGAUUUUAACCAUCGUUAUAUACACCCGUCCAUUUUCCUGUGACGUCACAUAGUGAUGCCGAUACAAACAAACAUGGCGGAAAGAACAGCAAGGUAUAGCGACAUUAGCUCGGAUUCAAACUCGGAUUUCAGCGGCUUAAGCGAUUCAACAGAUUACGCAUGUAUUGAAACGGAUGGUUGUAGUGUGGAGGCAGGUAGCGAAAACGAAAUUGAAGAAAAAACUGAAGCUAUUGAGCCAUAUUGGUUUGAACCGUAUGCAAGCGAAACCGACGAAAACGACACGACAGCCAGCGACACGGGAGAAAGCAAGGACGAAUUCGGCGAUCGCCUUCUAACCAACGAUUGGUAUGUGUUUGUUUGGCAUUAAAGGAAACUAACAACUAUGAACUAGGUUUACAGCAUAUGAAAUACAUUUGGCAACAACAUGCACUUUGAGAGUGCAGACAGCCCAGUUUUCAUCAAUUAAUAUAUUCUGUAGACAUACCCUCAUCCGCUCUCUUUUCCUGGGGGUCUGGCGGCAGAUUUCUUUGACUUUAUCGUUGGAAAUGCAUCUGCUUUGAGUGUCGCAGGAUAUCCACACAUUCUUGCCAUCUCUGUCGUAGCAUAGCUUUCGUCGGUAAAGUGUGCUAAACAAACGUCCAAUUUCUUGCCACUUUCGCAUCUUUGGGCCACUGGUGCAACUUGAAUCCGUCCCUGUUCGUGUUGUUACACCCUCCGACAACACACCGACGAGGCAUGAUGUUUCCAAGGUACGGAAAACAGUCGAAA